AGAGUACUGUCCGGUGCAGCCAAGGAUGACUUGCCGGCAUUGGCCUGUUAGUUAUUAACUACAAGUUUCCGGCAAGUUGUCUUUGGCUACGUUGGCCUCUCU
rnacentral:pre_miRNA from 1 species